rnacentral:lncRNA from 1 species
UUGACAAUCUAGGAAAGCCUCCAGGAAGUCAUCUCUUCUACUCAUUUCCUAACACCCUUUCAAAUCUCCAAAACAAAUGAUAAUGACCAAAAGUUUCCCAACUUCUCCACACUCACAAAGGCACCAAACACUCUCAUACAUACCCAUUUGCCCUUCACAGGAAGUACAUAAGAGCUGAGCAUAUUAAAUACAGAUACUUUUGGGAAAUUCCAAAAUUUCUUUUCUCAUGGAGCUUCAAUACCAACAUUUUCCUUUGGGUUAUCAAGUAGUCACCAAAGGGAUUUUCACAAAGUGAGAUGAAAUAUACCUAUCACACAUCCAGCUUCCUUUUCCCUUCAUUUACAAACCAUGGCAUUUUUCUUCCUAUCAGGAAAGAGCCCUAAAUCUUGAAAGCAGGACUUUCCCCAAAUCACCCUCCUACUUUGUGUCAGGGGCCUUCUGCUCAAACAGAAACAGUAGCUUAGUGGAAGGGAUUGAGAACUGGUUACCAAAUGAGGUCACAGAAGUGAAUCUGAAAGCAGAAGAAGAAAAAAGAAGCAUGUGUUAAAAGGGAAAUUGGUUCACUGAUUUUAUGAUGAUGGCAUUUGAUAAGUAAAAAGAAAGAAAGAAAUUGAGGAAUACAAUAGAUGAAGCAGAAAGAAUAUCAGAAAAGAGCCAUAGUGGCUAGAAGGCAGAAAGGAAUCAAAAGAGAAGAUAGAGAGGCUGAGGAUUGCUAGUGGAGUCAUCAAUUUACUGAUCUGAUGGGCAUGGCUCAUCUUAACCUCAUUUUCAGUGAACUCCAGAGUCUACCCAAAAGAAGUAAGUAAACUAAGAGUAAAUGAAAAGACAGAAGAAAUAGAAUCUAGAUGAUAGUGAUGUCAGAAAUAAAAAAACAAGGACUGGAACAGAAGGGAUGCUGUAGUGAAGGACUCCAGAUGUGCCACUGGGAAAGAGAUUCUGUGAGAAAAAGAAACCUUCUCUUUGCCAUAAGACUUGCUGGCAUUGGAGAAUGAGGAAAAGCUGCUAAGGAUCUCCUGAUGGGGGAAAGGGCCUCCAGUCCUCCCUCUCACUACCCAAGGAGACAUGAACUGGAGAGCGCAAGACCUUGCUGUUGCUUUUUUCUCUCUUGCAUCCAUUCUUUGUUAUUACUACAUGAAGAAAAUUAGAGAUGUCUUCAACCUUGUGAGCUUCAAAAGGUAAGGAGACUUAGUCACCAUGUAAUCUAGGAUUAGAAUGGGGCAAUCAUUAAACAUUUAUGUGUUGUUGUGUGUCAGGCACUGUGCUAAGCACUACCUAUAUGGGGUUUUGCAUCUGGCCAGUCUGUCAAGCAUGAAGGAGAGGAACAACCUGAGGACCCAGCCCAUCUGUCACUGAGAAGAAGACUCCAGAAGCAGAGAAAAUGUUAAUAUUUAUGUUCUUGCCCUAGCUUCCAAUAAAAUAUCCAUUU